rnacentral:rRNA from 1 species
ACCGCGUACUGACGGAAUAGUACGUUGAAGGGUGUAGAUAUUGGGACUGUAGGCAAAUCCGCAGACCUAGUCGAACCUGAUAGUACCACAAAGCUUCGGCUGCGUGGAUAGUGUUCCUAAGCGCUUCCAAGAAAAACCUCUAAGCUUCAGGUUAUACCAACUCGUACCGCAAACCAACACAGGUAGUCAAGUAGAGAAUACUGAGGUGCUCGAGUGAUUCAUGGCUAAGGAACUAGGCAAAAUGGUCUCGUAACUUCGGGAGAAGAGACGCCAACUUCGGUUGGCCGCAGUGAAUAGGCCCAGGCGACUGUUUAUCAAAAACACAGGGCUAUGCUAAAUUGAAAGAUGAUGUAUAUGGCCUGACACCUGCCCGGUGCUGGAAGGUUAAGUGGAGUUGUUAGUUUAGGCGAAGCAAUCAAAUGAAGCCCCAGUAAACGGCGGCCGUAACAAUAACGGUCCUAAGGUAGCGAAAUUCCUUGUCGGGUA